UUCCAUGCUACCCGAGGAAGGGGCCCAUAUGGCGUUGUUCUGGAUUCCCGUCGUAACUUAAAGGGAAACUUUCACGAUGUCCGGAGCCCUUGAUGUCCUGCAAAUGAAGGAGGAGGAUGUCCUCAAAUUCCUUGCAGCAGGAACCCACUUAGGUGGCACCAACCUUGACUUCCAAAUGGAACAAUACAUCUACAAAAGGAAAACUGAUGGCAUCUACAUCAUAAAUCUGAAGAGGACCUGGGAGAAGCUUCUGUUGGCAGCUCGUGCCAUUGUUGCCAUUGAAAACCCUGCUGAUGUCAGUGUCACAUCCUCCAGAAAUACUGGCCAGCGAGCUGUGCUGAAGUUUGCUGCUGCCACUGGAGCCACUCCUAUUGCUGGCCGCUUCACUCCUGGAACCUUCACUAGCCAGAUCCAGGCAGCGUUCCGGGAGCCGCGUCUUCUGGUGGUUACUGACCCCAGGGCUGACCGCCAGCCCUCACGAGAGGUCUUAUUGACUUACCACCUGUCCAUACAUCCUGCUUGUGUCAACAAGAUUCCUACCUCUGCGUUCACGUGGACAUCUGCCAUCCAGCACAAACACAGGGGGCUCACUCCUGUGCGGUCCUGAUGUGGUGAUGCUUGGCCCGGAAGUCCUCCAUGCGUGGCACCAUCUCUCCCGGACCACCGUCGGGAAGUCUGCCUGAUCUCUACUUCAUACAGAAGAUCCGAAGAGUCUGAAAAAGAAGAGCAAGUUGCCGGCCGUACGAAGUGUGACCAAGAGGAUUUCAGGUGA